GGUUAAGCGACUAAGCGUACACGGUGGAUGCCCUGGCAGUCAGAGGCGAUGAAGGACGUGCUAAUCUGCGAAAAGCGACGGCGAGGUGAUAUGAACCUUUGACCCGUCGAUGUCCGAAUGGGGAAACCCAGUGUGAUUCGUCACACUAUCGUUAACUGAAUACAUAGGUUAACGAGGCGAACCGGGGGAACUGAAACAUCUAAGUACCCCGAGGAAAAGAAAUCAACCGAGAUUCCCCCAGUAGCGGCGAGCGAACGGGGAGCAGCCCGGAGUCUGAAUCAGCUUGUGUGUUAGUGGAAGCGUCUGGAAAGUCGCACGGUACAGGGUGACAGUCCCGUACACGAAAAUGCACAGGUUGUGAACUCGAAGAGUAGGGCGGGACACGUGGUAUCCUGUCUGAAUAUGGGGGGACCAUCCUCCAAGGCUAAAUACUCCUGACUGACCGAUAGUGAACCAGUACCGUGAGGGAAAGGCGAAAAGAACCCCGGCGAGGGGAGUGAAAAAGAACCUGAAACCGUGUACGUACAAGCAGUGGGAGCACCUUCG
rnacentral:rRNA from 3 species